AAGUAAAUCAUGGAGAAAUUUGUGUUGAAUCGCUAGUUGGGAGAGGAGAUGACUCCAGACUAAUCUGAUGAGCUUACAAGAGCUAAUAUGUCCUUUUCUAGUCUAUCUCGUGGAAGGAAACUGGCACUAUCUGCUUUGGGGAUUGUGACAGCAGGGGGUGCUGGCCUGGCCCUGGCCUUGCACCAGUCUGUGAAAGCUAGUGAGCUCGAGCUGCAUCCACCAAGUUAUCCCUGGAGUCAUGGUGGAUUCUUAUCUUCUCUUGAUCAUGCCAGUAUACGCCGUGGGUACCAGGUAUACAAGCAAGUAUGUGCCGCAUGUCAUAGUUUGGAGUAUAUUGCCUUCCGAAAUCUUGUAGGAGUGUCCCACACAGAGGAAGAGGUUAAAGCCAUGGCAGAA